rnacentral:tRNA from 1 species
AUUAAAAAAGCUUAAUUUAAGUUUUAGCCUUUUAAGCUAAAGAAAUUUUAAUAAUGGUUAAUG